CUCAGGAUGAACGCUAGCGGCAGGCCUAACACAUGCAAGUCGAGGGGUAACAGGGAGCUUGCUCCGCUGACGACCGGCGCACGGGUGCGCAACGCGUAUGCAAUCUACCUCUUACUAAGGGAUAGCCCAGAGAAAUUUGGAUUAAUAUCUUAUGUGAUAUGWGACUGGCAUCGGUUAMAUAUUAAAGGUUACGGUAAGAGAUGAGCAUGCGUCUCAUUAGUUAGUUGGUAAGGUAACGGCUUACCAAGACUUCGAUGAGUAGGGGUCCUGAGAGGGAGAUCCCCCACACUGGUACUGAGACACGGACCAGACUCCUACGGGAGGCAGCAGUGAGGAAUAUUGGACAAUGGACGGAAGUCUGAUCCAGCCAUGCCGCGUGUAGGAAGACUGCCCUAUGGGUUGUAAACUACUUUUAUACAGGAAGAAUAAGAUCUACGUGUAGAUUGAUGACGGUACUGUAAGAAUAAGGACCGGCUAACUCCGUGCCAGCAGCCGCGGUAAUACGGAGGGUCCGAGCGUUAUCCGGAAUUAUUGGGUUUAAAGGGUCCGUAGGCGGGCUGUUAAGUCAGAGGUGAAAUGCUGCGGCUCAACCGUAUGCACUGCCUUUGAUACUGGCGGUCUUGAGUUAUAGUGAAGUGGCUAGAAUAAGUAGUGUAGCGGUGAAAUGCAUAGAUAUUACUUAGAAUACCGAUUGCGAAGGCAGGUCACUAACUAUACACUGACGCUGAUGGACGAAAGCGUGGGUAGCGAACAGGAUUAGAUACCCUGGUAGUCCACGCCGUAAACGAUGGAUACUAGCUGUUCGGUUUUCGGACUGAGCGGCCAAGCGAAAGUGAUAAGUAUCCCACC
rnacentral:rRNA from 1 species